rnacentral:rRNA from 1 species
GAUCCUGGCUCGAGGAUGAACGCUAGCGGCAGGCCUAAUACAUGCAAGUCGAGGGCAGCGCGGUAGCAAUACUGGCGGCGACCGGCGCACGGGUGCGUAACACGUAUACAAUCUACCUUAAACAGGGGGAUAGCCUUUCGAAAGAGAGAUUAAUACCCCGUAAUAAAUUGAACGGCAUUCGUUUGAUUUUGAAAGCUCCGGCGGUUUGAGAUGAGUAUGCGUCUGAUUAGCUAGUUGGUGAGGUAACGGCUCACCAAGGCGACGAUCAGUAGGGGAUCUGAGAGGACUAACCCCCCACACUGGUACUGAGACACGGACCAGACUCCUACGGGAGGCAGCAGUAAGGAAUAUUGGUCAAUGGAGGCAACUCUGAACCAGCCAUGCCGCGUGCAGGAUGACGGCCCUAUGGGUUGUAAACUGCUUUUAUACAAGAGAAAACCCUGGUACGUGUACCAGGUUGAUAGUAUUGUAAGAAUAAGCAUCGGCUAACUUCGUG